UUUAUGGAGAGUUUGAUCCUGGCUCAGGAUGAACGCUGGCGGCGUGCCUAAUACAUGCAAGUCGAGCGAACGGACGAGAAGCUUGCUUCUCUGAUGUUAGCGGCGGACGGGUGAGUAACACGUGGAUAACCUACCUAUAAGACUGGGAUAACUUCGGGAAACCGGAGCUAAUACCGGAUAAUAUUUUGAACCGCAUGGUUCAAAAGUGAAAGACGGUCU
rnacentral:rRNA from 1 species